GACGUAGGUGGCGAGCGUUGUUCGGAAUCACUGGGCAUAAAGCGCACGUAGGCGGCCAUAUAAGUCGGGUGUGAAAGCCCUCGGCUCAACCGAGGAACUGCGCCCGAUACUGCAUGGCUUGAGGUCCGGAGGGGAGAGUGGAAUUCCCGGUGGAGCGGUGAAAUGCGUAGAGAUCGGGAAGAACGCCGGCGGCGAAAGCGACUCUCGUGGUCGGAAUCUGACGGCUGAGGUGCGAAAGCUAGGGGAGCAAACGGG
rnacentral:rRNA from 1 species